rnacentral:rRNA from 1 species
UACGUAGGGUGCGAGCGUUGUCCGGAAUUAUUGGGCGUAAAGGGCUCGUAGGCGGUUUGUCGCGUCGGGAGUGAAAUCCACUGGCUUAACUGGUGGCUUGCUUUCGAUACGGGCAGACUGGAGGUAUGCAGGGGAGAACGGAAUUCCUGGUGUAGCGGUGAAAUGCGCAGAUAUCAAGCGGAACACCAGUGGCGAAGGCGAGUCCCUGGACAACUCCUGACACUGAUGCACGAAAGCUAGGGGAGCAAACAGG